CGCCACCCUCUCUCUCACGUAG
rnacentral:miRNA from 1 species